rnacentral:misc_RNA from 1 species
UUUACUGAUGAAGAUAUUAAGCAGGUACCUGAGAUAUAAUCCUAAUUAAUAUUUGAUAAGUUCAUUUCCUUGUAUGCUUUAGAUGAAUGGAAAGUCCCCUUAAUAAUAUGUUAAACAUGGGGACCUAACAUUAAUGAUUGCCUAAUGAUUCUUAAAGUAGUGCUCGUUAUUUAAAUAAGCCUGAUUUAAUCUAUUAAUACAUCACAUGAGUGUAUCUGAUC